rnacentral:snoRNA from 2 species
AGCUCGGUGAUUGCAGCCAAUUGCAUUGGCAAUAUACGCUAUGCUGACCUCAGUUUGAUGAAAAUUAAAAAGUAUGAGAGCU